UAAAAUCCCACAUAAAAGGGAAAACCAAUUCCAAAUUAGGCACAGAUUAACCUGAGAACCUUUGCACAAACUAGCAAACUACUUUGGGUAGUUGAACCAAAAAAAGCCACACUUCAAGAUAAUCGCACAUUCAGCCUUUUCCACAAGACAUGUAAUCAAAUAUUAGGAGUUCCACACAACAUGCAACUUGAAAUAAGUUAACCACGACCACAUUCCAGAGGUCAUCAAUAUUGUAGAAGGUCCAUAAUUUACCUGCAAUGACUCGAUGAUAAGAAUCCACAAUCAGAUAGCAGUGAUUAUAAUUUAAUUUU